AUUGAACGCUGGCGGCAUGCUUUACACAUGCAAGUCGAACGGUAACAGCACUUCGGUGGCUGACGAGUGGCGAACGGGUGAGUAAUACAUCGGAACGUGCCUAGUAGUGGGGGAUAACUACUCGAAAGAGUAGCUAAUACCGCAUGAGAUCUAAGGAUGAAAGCAGGGGACCUUCGGGCCUUGCGCUACUAGAGCGGCUGAUGGCAGAUUAGGUGGUUGGUGGGAUAAAAGCUUACCAAGCCGACGAUCUGUAGCUGGUCUGAGAGGACGACCAGCCACACUGGGACUGAGACACGGCCCAGACUCCUACGGGAGGCAGCAGUGGGGAAUUUUGGACAAUGGGCGUAAGCCUGAUCCAGCAAUGCCGCGUGCAGGAUGAAGGCCUUCGGGUUGUAAACUGCUUUUGUACGGAACGAAAAGCCCUCUUCUAAUACAGGAGGGUCAUGACGGUACCGUAAGAAUAAGCACCGGCUAACUACGUG
rnacentral:rRNA from 1 species